GAAGAGGAAGAAGAAGAGGAGGAGGAGGAGGGUCGGCUGAGGUGUGAGUGAAUGCAGCCAUGGCCUGUACACCCUGUCCAUAGAGGAGCUACUGAGUGGAAGACAGAUCAAAGAAGACAGAGACGACCAACAGGAUGAAACUGUGGGGGAGGUCAGCUUGGCCUGUGCAGGUGGCCUUCCUCGUUGCCUUGGUGAUGCUCUGCGUUGACCCGGUGUCCGCUGGCAGCCGUAACCACCGGGGACCGACAGUCGCCUACCAGGUGAAGCAGGGGACAUGCGAGGUGGUGGCCAUCCAUCGCUGCUGUAAUAAGAAUAAGAUUGAGGAGCGCUCUCAAACCGUCAAGUGUUCCUGUUUCCCUGGGCAGGUCGCCGGCACCACCAGAGCCAGACCCUCCUGUGUGGAAGCCUCCAUCGUAGUCCAGAAGUGGUGGUGCCAGAUGCAUCCCUGUAUGGACGGAGAGGAGUGUAAGGUCCUGCCUGACCUGACUGGCUGGUCCUGCAGCACUGGCAACAAAGUCAAAACCACCAAGCUGAGAGAGGAGCGAGGAGCCGAUGGCUGACUGCAUCAGUGGACAUUAAUUGUGCAUUUGCAAGGUCACACGAUAGCAAGAGAGCCGCCGAGCCACGAGGAAACCUGAAACUCUCCAUGUGGAAAGGAUGGAUGACUCACACAUAUUUACUGUACGAUGGGGAGCAUAUCAAGGAAAGGACCACUGUCAGGUCAUCCAUCACAAAACAAUGGGAUAAAAUGUACUCAUCACAAACUACGUACACUCGGCUACACGGAAGCCGCACAUACAGCAUACACACAGUAUGCUGGUUGUUGAGACCAACGGACUACAAUCAUGGACGCCCAGGGUAAAUCCGGACACUAAUGGACUCUUUAUUUUCCCAUGAUGGACAAAACGUGGGAAAGAAACGGUCGAAUUCAAAGAGCGAUUAAGCAUUUCAAAGUAUAUAUUUCAACAAAGCAUUUGCGGAUGAGUGCGAGAUGUGAACUAAAAGCUGUGAGUGCUGCUGGACACAGUCCAGACCUGUCGUCGAUAUGUAGAGCUCACACCGCAGACGGCGGAGACGAUUUGGGAGGAAUGAAACAGAUAGCAGCUCAUAACUAGCAAAUAGCAAAUUAGCAUCAAAUUGCUCUUGUGGGUCAAGUCGCUACCAUGAAGACUGUUUUGCGGAGAGUCAUUUUGCAGUUCUAAUUAGGAAUUGCAGCGUAGGAUCAUAACAACAUAUUAAAAAUUCAUGUAAGAUAUUUGCACUAGUUGAAACCGUUUGGGAAUGUUUUGUUUUUCUAGAUAUCUCCCAUCUUUUGCUGUGGAUGUCACAUGAAAUUGAAGAGGUUUGGUGUUCUGUAGAUGAGCCUGGCGCCUCGCUCCCUCCGUCCUACAUGGCUCUCUGCAGCAGAAUCAAUAUUUGAGGACAAUUUGCGCUGCGAUGCUCCCUGGUGGCCGGGGUUCGACGCUGCAGCUCCACCCUUCAGUUCCAACAACAGACAGAGCAGAAGACCUGCCGGGGAACCGAUUCACAGCUCGUCUCAGGCGUCUAACCUCCCAAACGUCCCAUGGAGACUGGUUGCUUUCAUCUCCACAGGUUAGCAACUGGUGGGACCCAGAGGGCAGGACCUACAGAAGCAAACAAACCGCUUGGAGGACUUGAGUGCAGAAGAAGAUGCUAAUGAGAGAUGAUAGGCAGAGCUGUCUGAAGGAGAAAAACAGAGAUAGAGAGGUAUAGCAGAGAGUGUGAGCGUGUGAAGAGUAUUUUUAAGUAUGUCUUUGUUUAUGCGCUAAGCCUGGGUGGCUCCCGAGAGGCCACUUGCAUCGUCAAACCAAACGCCUCCAAUAGUCCAUCAUCACACUCGUCGGCAAUUCACACAAUCGCUACCUAGAGAGGGAGAAAUAAAGGGAUGAAACACCGUU